rnacentral:tRNA from 1 species
GCAAGAUAGGUUAAACCGAAGUGGACUUGAAAUCCAAUUUUAUUAUCCGAGCGAUAAGUCUUGCU